rnacentral:rRNA from 1 species
CUACGGAGGGUGCAAGCGUUAAUCGGAAUUACUGGGCGUAAAGCGCGCGUAGGCGGUUUGUUAAGCUAGCUGUGAAAGCCCCGGGCUCAACCUGGGAAUUGCAGUUAGAACUGGCAGGCUAGAGUACAGCAGAGGAUAGUGGAAUUUCAGGUGUAGCGGUGAAAUGCGUAGAUAUCUGAAGGAACACCAGUGGCGAAGGCGACUGUCUGGACUAACAUUGACGCUGAGGUGCGAAAGCGUGGGGAGCAAACAGGAUUAGAAACCCCAGUAGUCC